AUUGAACGCUGGCGGCAUGCCUUACACAUGCAAGUCGAACGGCAGCAUGGGUGCUUGCACCUGAUGGCGAGUGGCGAACGGGUGAGUAAUGCAUCGGAACGUACCCGGAAGUGGGGGAUAACGUAGCGAAAGUUACGCUAAUACCGCAUAUUCUGUGAGCAGGAAAGCGGGGGAUCGCAAGACCUCGCGCCUCCGGAGCGGCCGAUGUCGGAUUAGCUAGUUGGCGGGGUAAAGGCCCACCAAGGCAACGAUCCGUAGCGGGUCUGAGAGGAUGAUCCGCCACACUGGGACUGAGACACGGCCCAGACUCCUACGGGAGGCAGCAGUGGGGAAUUUUGGACAAUGGGGGCAACCCUGAUCCAGCCAUGCCGCGUGAGUGAAGAAGGCCUUCGGGUUGUAAAGCUCUUUCGGCUGGGAAGAAAUCGCACCUCCUAAUACGGGGUGUGGAUGACGGUACCAGCAUAAGAAGCACCGGCUAACUACGUGCCAGCAGCCGCGGUAA
rnacentral:rRNA from 1 species